rnacentral:rRNA from 1 species
AGCGAACGCUGGCGGCAGGCCUAACACAUGCAAGUCGAACGAACCUUUCGGGGUUAGUGGCGGACGGGUGAGUAACACGUGGGAACGUGCCUUUAGGUUCGGAAUAACUCAGGGAAACUUGUGCUAAUACCGAAUGUGCCCUUCGGGGGCAAGAUUUAUCGCCUUUAGAGCGGCCCGCGUCUGAUUAGCUAGUUGGUUGAGGUAAUGGCGCACCAAGGCGACGAUCAGUAGCUGGUCUGAGAGGAUGAUCAGCCACAUUGGGACUGAGACACGGCCCAAACUCCUACAGGAGGCAGCAGUGGGGGAUCUUGCGCAAUGGGCGAAAGCCUGACGCAGCCAUGCCGCGUGAAUGAUGAAGGUCUUAGGAUUGUAAAAUUCUUUCACCGGGGACGAUAAUGACGGUACCCGGAGAAGAAGCCCCGGCUAACUUCGUG